UGUGGCUUCAAUCUCCCAGACGAGGGUGGUGAAAAGGCAGGUGGAUGGCGGGUUGGGCUCUGGCUCCGCCGUGUGUACAGAGAGAGAGAGAGAGAGAGAGAGAGAGAGAGAGAGAGAGAGAGGGAGAGAGAGCGAGAGAGAGAGAGAGAGAUAGAACCAUUUCCUUAUAUCCCCCACUCCGCGUUGACUCUCGGGUGCAGGUCAACUUUAACUACCAUGACUCCCUACUCUGUAUUUCUCUCGGCUCUUUAUGUAUUUAGUUUUUGGUUCACAGGCCUACAAGGGUACACAAAUAAUUCCUUAUUUUUACUGAAGGGAAAUGAUUUAGUAAUGAAAAUUGAAACACCGAAAUCCAAAGUUGAUGUCUUCCAUUGGAAACGCGCACAAAAUAACUCUUCAUAAUAACAUAUUAUCCUGAUGAAUUUCUAAAAAAUCCAUUUGGAGAAAGAGCAGAGUUUUCAACAGCAAAUUAUUCUUUGAGAAUAAAAAACCUAGCAUUGAAUGAAAAUGGACUUUACCAAAGCAAAGAUUAGAUGCUUCUAAUGGCGUAGUAAUUAUCGCCGACUACCACGUCACAGUUCAAGAGCGGGUAUCACCAGUGGUCCUGAAUGUGUCGUCUGUGUCUCCCAGUCCUGAAUCCUGUGAUGUGACCGUGACCUGUAGCACUCAGAGCUCCUCCUUAAACUCCACCUUCACGUGCACCCCUCGGACCUGCUCUGGGGAUGGAGGAGACCCAGCAGAGGUCGUGACCUCUGAUGACCCGCUCAACCUCUACCUGUCAAAUGGUUCGAUCGCUAUCUGUAACCAUAGCAACAAAGUGAGCUGGUCAAAGGCCACGAUGG
ensembl:lncRNA